AGUGGCGGACGGGUGAGUAACGCGUGAGAAUCUGCCUUGGGGUCGGGGACAACCACUGGAAACGGUGGCUAAUACCGGAUAAGCCGAUUGGUGAAAGAUUUAUUGCCCGAAGAGGAGCUCGCGUCUGAUUAGCUAGUUGGUGAGGUAAGAGCUCACCAAGGCAGCGAUCAGUAGCUGGUCUGAGAGGACGAUCAGCCACACUGGGACUGAGACACGGCCCAGACUCCUACGGGAGGCAGCAGUGGGGAAUUUUCCGCAAUGGGCGAAAGCCUGACGGAGCAAGACCGCGUGAGGGAGGAAGGCUCUUGGGUUGUAAACCUCUUUUCUCAGGGAAGAAGCUCUGACGGUACCUGAGGAAUCAGCCUCGGCUAACUCCGUGCCAGCAGCCGCGGUAAUACGGAGGAGGCAAGCGUUAUCCGGAAUUAUUGGGCGUAAAGCGUCCGCAGGUGGCGAUUCAAGUCUGCUGUCAAAGCACGGGGCUUAACUCCGUAAAGGCAGUGGAAACUGAAUAGCUAGAGUGCCGUAGGGGUAGAGGGAAUUCCCGGUAUAGCGGUGAAAUGCGUAGAGAUCGGGAAGAACAUCGGUGGCGAAAGCGCUCUACUGGACGGCAACUGACACUCAGGGACGAAAGCUAGGGGAGCGAAUGGGAUUAGAUACCCC
rnacentral:rRNA from 1 species